rnacentral:rRNA from 1 species
UACGGGGGGGAGCAAGCGUUGUUCGGAUUUACUGGGCGUAAAGGGCGCGUAGGCGGCCCGGUAAGUAGGGGGGUGAAAAUCCUGCGGCUUAACCGCAGGGCUGCCUUCUAAACUGUCGGGCUCGAGCACGGUAGAGGCAGAUGGAAUUCCCGGUGUAGCGGUGGAAUGCGCAGAUAUCAGGAAGAACACCAACGGCGAAGGCAGCUCGCUGGGACGGUACUGACGCUGAGACGCGAAAGCGUGGGGAGCGAACAGG